rfam:Echinococcus granulosus EG_S00041, whole genome shotgun sequence.
GUGCAUUAGAAAAGGAGAGACGUUUGGCAGCCCCCUGCACAAGGUCGGACUCAAAUCUCCUUGAGGCGUAAAGUCCACAAAGUGGCGCCUUUUUCCCAAGCACUCGCACAGUGUUGU